CGGUGGUGAUCGGUCCCCUGCUGAUCUGCGUUCCAGGUUUUAUUACCUUAAUUUCUAAAAAAAAUAUCCAUAAAAAUAGAAAAAGGCACAAUGGGAAAUUUCCAUAAAUGGGAAAGAAAUUUCGCUGCCUUUCCUUUCUUGAACAAACCAGCUGCGCCCAACUCUUUCUCUCUCUCUCCCUCUCCCCUUCUCUUUCCAAAAGUGCUGGCUUUCACUGCUCUGCAAAUUUCGUGGUCGGACCAAAACUUCAGACCUGAAACCACCCCAACGAAGGGGGUAGGAAGAAUUGGAGAAAAUGAUUAGGGAGAAGAUCAAGAUCAGGAAGAUCGACUGCUUGCCGGCAAGGCAGGUAACCUUCUCAAAGAGGAGAAAAGGGGAUUAUGAAGAAAGCUGGAGAGCUGUCGAUUCUGUGUGAAUCUGAAGCUGCUGUUAUCAUCUUUUCUCAAACUGACAAGCUCCUUGAUUUCUCAAGCUCCAGGAAGAAAGUGAUGUGAUGAAAACUUGGGAAUUCAUCAUAGAAGCCUUGAAGAUCCUUUGGGAAGGAAUAUGUAUGCCUGCGUCAAGUAGGGCAAUCAGUGGUGCAGCUAUGGCCAUGGCUGAUAUACUCCCACAUAUAGAAGGGCUUUUUACGCCACCAAAGUCUCCACACCAUCGGCAAUUCGAGCUGACCUCAUUGCCUUGGUUGACUAUGAUGAACGACUGGAAGAGGGACAUCAUCCAGGUCGACUUGACUAAGAUGUGGUCAUCAGCACAUGAUAACCAUGAACGAGAGGAGAGGAUUCUAGUGCUGCAAGCAUUCUAGCAUCAAGCGUUUUCUAUCUUGUUCCUUCAACUAGGCAUGGAGAAGGACUUCGUCUCCCAGCUGGUAGAAUUCCUAUCUUGGCUAUUGCAAGCUUCCCAUCAAGCCAUAUCAAUUCCACUCAUGAAAUUCCCAUCAUUCCUGUCAACUAUUAACUACAAAAAAUUUCGCCUACCAAUGAUGUUAUUGCAAGGUACAAAUCACAUACUUCUGGGGAAAAAUCAGAUCAACCCACGUUUGAUCAACUGCAGGAUUCAAAUGACCUGGAGAUUGCUACAAUUGUGGAUCCAUGCUCAAGCAUGUUUAAGUAGUCCAUCUUUUGCCCCUUUUUUUCCUUCCCUUCACUGUGACAUUUGGAAUCUAUAAACGAAACAUCUUUUGCCAUAAAAAUAGGCGAUGUCCAAUUUUGUGCUUUGUGCUGUUCUAAGAUUUUCUUCUUUCUUGUUUCUUUUUGGGUUUGAUGUUUUAAGCUUUUCAUGUGAGUUUGUGACAGAUUAGACUAUCUAAAUGAUGGUUUGGUAUAAAUAUAUUUCCCGUUAAAUAGUUGGAGAGAGAAAACAAGAUCACGCUGAGUAAGGAACUUGAGGAUGAGACCCGCAAGUUGAGAUGAAAGGUGACGAACGUCAAGACUUGGGUCUGGAUGAACUGCAGAAGUUAGCAAAAUAGGUGGAAGCAAGCCUUGGCUGUGUGUGA